UACAUACUUCAUCCGUCUGAAAAAGCUUGUCUCUUAAAUAGAUGUAUCUAGCACAAAGUUAGUGCUAGAUACAUCCAUUCAAAAAACAAGCUUGGGACAAGCUUUUUCGAACCAAGGGAGUAGGAC
rfam:Triticum aestivum genome assembly, contig: Triticum_aestivum_CS42_TGACv1_scaffold_527674_6DL